rfam:Gossypium arboreum cultivar AKA8401 contig_47610_1, whole genome shotgun sequence.
UAUUAAAAUUUUCAUUCAUUUCUACCGUUAAAAAUUGGUAUCACUAAAAAAUAAUCAAAGGGUGACAUGCCACUUGUACCUUAUACAGUCGUACAAAGACCAAUUUUUAACGAUAAAAUCGAUUGAAUUUUUAACA